GGUCAAUGAUGAGAGAGAGCCAAAUCUGAUCUCCAGAAUUCUAUGGAGCGUGAUCUUUCCAAACUGGGA